ensembl:lncRNA
CACUUUAACACUGUCUCAUCCUAUGAUUAUAGCAAAGAGUAUGUGGGCUAUAACAUGUGGGCUAUAACACUUCGCUGCCCAUUGUGUAAGUUGGUGCCGGUGGUACUGUCAACAUGAAAUCCAGUGGUGCUGCUCUGUUCACAAGGAACAAUCCCUUUCCGCCAGACCCACCUCUGGGAAAAACACAUUUACAACCCCUCACGCACCAAGAAGCUUCCAAAGCAACAGAGGAAAACCACCCUGAACGAUGUUGGCCUUGCCCAGCUGUCCAGCCCUCCUCCUCUCCAGACACACUCACUGUGCCCAUCGGACCCGUGCUUCCUUGGGGCAGCCAACCACUUUGUCCUCUGUCCUCCUCCUGCCACUAGGCCCAGUCUAGUUUUUAAGAGUCCUGGCCCUCCACUGAUCUUGUGUCCUCCCCGGCCAACACUGCCACCUCCCCGAACACAGACACACUGACAUAGGACCCAACAUCGGGAAAGUCCCUGGUUUCCACUGGGGGAGGAGAGAAGGAAGAUUCAGUGUUGGCAAAGUACAUUGAACGCUUUCGUCACGGAAGGCCGCAGAGUCGAGAGGAACGUCUGCAAACGUCGGCAAUGGUGGGAGAGGGCCAGCAGCCUUUCUGGUGGCUUUCCUCCUCCUCUCUACCCUCCAGUUCUACACCCACUCAAACCACUGACAAAGGAAAGAAGUCAAGAAUGUAAGGACAAAUCCAUCUAACAACCCAAAUAGCACCAUCAAAAUGAAAUCUAUAUACUGGAUGAAUAUGUACAGC